UACGUAGGGGGCUAGCGUUGUCCGGAAUCAUUGGGCGUAAUGAGCGUGUAGGCGGUCCGGUAAGUCCGCUGUGAAAGUCGGGGGCUCAACCCUCGAAUGCCGGUGGAUACUGUCGGGCUAGAGUGCGGAAGAGGCGAGUGGAAUUCCUGGUGUAGCGGUGAAAUGCGCAGAUAUCAGGAGGAACACCGAUUGCGAAGGCAGCUCGCUGGGACGUUACUGACGCUGAGACGCGAAAGCGUGGGGAGCGAACAGG
rnacentral:rRNA from 1 species